UGUUGUAUGCACCCCUCCCUUGUCACCUUGAAUGCAGCAAAUUCAUCUGAUUUGGAAGCUAAGGAAGAUUACGCCUGGUUAGUACUUGGAUGGGAGACCACCAGAGCUCUCCUCCACGUGCAACAA
rnacentral:rRNA from 1 species